rnacentral:tRNA from 1 species
CACAAAAUGACUGAAAGCAAGUACUGGUCUCUUAAACCAUUUUAUAGUAAAUUAGCAAUUACUUUUUGUG